rnacentral:pre_miRNA from 1 species
AACUGAUACAAGUAGGAUUGUCAGAUAACAUCCAUAAUCUGCUCCUGCUUCUAUCAGUUCC